rnacentral:rRNA from 1 species
UAGGGAAUCUUCCGCAAUGGGCGAAAGCCUGACGGAGCAACGCCGCGUGAGUGAUGAAGGUCUUCGGAUCGUAAAACUCUGUUAUUAGGGAAGAACAAAUGUGUAAGUAACUAUGCACGUCUUGACGGUAUCUAACCAGAAAGCCACGGCUAACUACGUGCCAGCAGCCGCGGUAAUACGUAGGUGGCAAGCGUUGUCCGGAUUUAUUGGGCGUAAAGCGAGCGCAGGCGGUCAAUUAAGUCUGAUGUGAAAGCCCCCGGCUCAACCGGGGAGGGUCAUUGGAAACUGGUUGACUUGAGUGCAGAAGAGGAGAGUGGAAUUCCAUGUGUAGCGGUGAAAUGCGUAGAUAUAUGGAGGAACACCAGUGGCGAAGGCGACUCUCUGGUCUGUAACUGACGCUGAGGCUCGAAAGCGUGGGUAGCAAACAGG